rnacentral:RNase_P_RNA from 1 species
CGCGCCGGCCGGAUCAUCGCGCCCCGACGACCGUCGGGGUGAGGAAAGUCCGAACACCACAGGGCACCGUGCCCCGCGUCAAGCGGGGGCUCCGUUCGGGUAACCGGGCGGAGACGGCACGUGCAACAGAGAGCAGACCAGCCGAUGGCCCCGGCGAUGAACCGCCGGAGCACAGGUGAUGGGUGAAACGGUGGGGUAAGAGCCCACCGGCGUCCCGGGUGACCGGGGCGGCCAGGCAAACCCCACGGGGUGCAAGGCCAAGCAGCGCCGCACCCGGCUUCGGGCCGGGAUAAGGUGGCCCGCCGAACCGCGGCGCGGGUAGGCCGCCCAGAUAAAUGAUGAUCUCCCCGGACCGGGUGCUGCGGCCACCCACCGGGCAGACAGAAUUCGGCUUACAGGUCGGCGCGAGCC